CCUACGGGGGGCUGCAGUGAGGAAUAUUGGUCAAUGGACGAGAGUCUGAACCAGCCAAGUAGCGUGAAGGAUGACUGCCCUAUGGGUUGUAAACUUCUUUUAUAUGGGAAUAAAAUGUUCCACGUGUGGGAUUUUGUAUGUACCAUAUGAAUAAGGAUCGGCUAACUCCGUGCCAGCAGCCGCGGUAAUACGGAGGAUCCGAGCGUUAUCCGGAUUUAUUGGGUUUAAAGGGAGCGUAGGUGGAUUGUUAAGUCAGUUGUGAAAGUUUGCGGCUCAACCGUAGAAUUGCAGUUGAAACUGGCAGGCUUGAGUACAGUAGAGGUAGGCGGAAUUCGUGGUGUAGCGGUGAAAUGCUUAGAUAUCACGAAGAACUCCGAUUGCGAAGGCAGCUCACUGGACUGCAACUGACACUGAGGCACGAAAGUGUGGGUAUCAAACAGGAUUAGAUACCCGAGUAGUC
rnacentral:rRNA from 1 species